rnacentral:lncRNA from 1 species
CGAACUGCUGCACCCCGGGUCCUGGACCCACAGAGAGGCUGUGACCUCCUAGCACGCCUCACCAGCCCCCUUGCCUGAUCCUUCACCAAAUCUCCUCUUUCUUGGCCUUGGAGCUUCAUGAAGAAGGAGGUCUGAGAGCCCCCCCAUACGCAUCAUCCCAGAAAAGUCUAGGCCCCUUCUAUUCAUUGGUAUUUUUUUUCCCUUUCAUUCAACAAGAAAUUAGUGCAUGUCAGCAUGUGCCAGGCACGAGCAAGGCCGGGAGGCAGGAAGAGGGGCGGCCCCAGGCUACAGGGACCAGCCAGCCCCAUCCCUACCCCCUCUCCUUCUCGCCUGACUCAGCCGACAGCAGGAUGGGAAUAAAGGGCGCCCCACCAGCGUCCUCCAAUUUCCCGCUAUUCAGCUCAGACCUGAGUAGCAGCAGGCAGCCGAAAGGAUUUGCAGCUCUCUCCCAAAACAGCCCUCUUGGCCACCUCCCGCUUCCCACAUGGGCAAAGUCAGGACCACACCUGAGAAGGAGCCAAUUGGAGAAGACCCACCUUGGACCCUUCCUGGAGGAGAGGCAGUUCCCUGGCUGCCAGCACAAAGGCCAGGGCUGGGCCAACGUGCCUGCAAGGUCAGCAGCCACUUGGCUCUGGAAGCAGCUGCAGAUGUGUGGCCACACCAGCACCAGGGGACCCUAUUCUGCAUCUAUGCUGGGCUGGAAGACUGCAAAACCACUUGGCAGAAGACAUAAAUGAGAAAUCCUGUACCAAGUAAGGAUGAAAAGAAGAAUUGGAAACAAGUAUGCAAUCGGCCACCAACUAUCGAAUGGAAGCAAUAAAAAAGAACUCAACCAGGGCCGGGGAUUUAGCCCAAUGGUUCUGCCGCCUGCCUUGCAAGUGCAAGGAUCCAAGUUCGAUCCCUGGUACCAAAAAAAAAUUGUUUGUGCAAAAAGAACUCAACCCUACCCAUGCUCAUGCCUACACACUCUCGCACACCUUCCCUCUCUCUCCCUCAGAGGGACUCAGUUCCAAGGUGUGAAUACACCAAGUCUGCCCUCCUCAGGGCUGCCGUGCAUGUCAGAUGAGAAGAUGCAGGGAUGGUGCCUGCAGACGUGAACACACUCCACGCAUGUGGAUGAAGUAUCACUUGACCCCAAUUCUUCUCUCAGGGAGAAGGAAGCUCCUGCUGGGUCCUGAAGCUUCUUAGUUUUCUAGUUAGUUUCCUUUUGUUCCUCUCCAAAGCUCUGCUUACCCAGGAGAAUAAUGUCAACACUUAUGAUGCCAUUUUAAUCAUCCCAGGGGCAUUGAUCAUUAUUAUGAAUCCCAAAAUAGCUGAGCUAUUCAUGUUUGACAGUGCGAUCAUGCAGGGCUAUACAUCAUGGAACCUUCAAUGGAGGAUAUGCCUUGGUUUUCCAUGCACCUUCUCAUCUGUCGUCUCACAGAGAGGAGGUAUUCUCCCGAUUAUAGGGGUCCAAAACCAGGGGCCAAGGUGGGUCUGAUCACUCACCAGCUGGAGGACUGUGCUGGAAGGAUGGGCGCAGGUCCCUUCUCUGUUUCAGCAUGAGAUUUGCACACUGAGGGAAGUGUACGGCACCCCCCCACACACACACACACACACACACUGUGGGCUCCAUCUUUUCUCCCUAGCAUUGAGGUUUAAGGUUCCCACCUCCUUCCCAGCCCUGUUUCCUGGUCCCACCACCUCCUCCCCU